rnacentral:rRNA from 1 species
CUACGGGUCGCUGCAGUCGAGAAUCUUUGGCAAUGGACGAAAGUCUGACCAAGCGACGCCGCGUGCGGGAUGAAGGCCUUCGGGUUGUAAACCGCUGUCAGUUGGGAGGAAAUCACAUGGGGUCCUCUCCAUGUGUUGACCUAUCUUCAGAGGAAGGACGGGCUAAGUUCGUGCCAGCAGCCGCGGUAAGACGAACCGUCCAAACGUUAUUCGGAAUCACUGGGCUUAAAGGGUGCGUAGGCGGCCCUGUAAGUUGGGUGUGAAAUCCCUCGGCUCAACCGAGGAAUUGCGCCCAAUACUGCAGGGCUAGAGGGAGACAGAGGUGAGCGGAACUUGUGGUGGAGCGGUGAAAUGCGUUGAUAUCACAAGGAACACCUGUGGCGAAAGCGGCUCACUGGGUCUCUUCUGACGCUGAGGCACGAAAGCUGGGGGAGCGAACGGGAUUAGAUACCCUGGUAGUC